UGGGGAAUUUUGCACAAUGGGGGAAACCCUGAUGCAGCGACGCCGCGUGAUUUAGAAGGCCUUCGGGUUGUAAAAAUCUUUUGUAUGGGAAGAAAAUGACAGUACCAUACGAAUAAGGACCGGCUAAUUACGUGCCAGCAGCCGCGGUAAUACGUAAGGUCCGAGCGUUGUCCGGAAUCAUUGGGCGUAAAGGGUACGUAGGCGGAUAAGCAAGUUAGAAGUGAAAUCCUGUAGCUCAACUACAGUAAGCUUUUAAAACUGCUCAUCUUGAGAUAUGGAAGGGAAAGUGGAAUUCCUAGUGUAGCGGUGAAAUGCGCAGAUAUUAGGAGGAAUACCGGUGGCGAAGGCGACUUUCUGGCCAUAAUCUGACGCUGAGGUACGAAAGCGUGGGUAGCAAACAGG
rnacentral:rRNA from 1 species